rnacentral:rRNA from 1 species
UACGAAGGGUGCAAACGUUGCUCGGAAUUAUUGGGCGUAAAGAGCUCGUAGGCGGCUUGUCACGUCGGGUGUGAAAGCCCGGGGCUUAACCCCGGGUCUGCAUUCGAUACGGGCUGGCUAGAGUGUGGUAGGGGAGAUCGGAAUUCCUGGUGUAGCGGUGAAAUGCGUAGAUAUCUGGAGGAAUACCGGUGGCGAAGGCGGCAUCCUGGACCAUAACUGACGCUGAGGCGCGAAAGCUAGGGGAGCAAACGGG